GAUGAACGCUGGCGGCGUGCUUAACACAUGCAAGUCGAACGAAGCACUUUGAUCGAUUUCUUCGGAUUGAAAUUUUAGUGACUGAGUGGCGGACGGGUGAGUAACGCGUGGGUAACCUGCCUCACACAGGGGGAUAACAGUUGGAAACGACUGCUAAUACCGCAUAAGCGCACGGUAUCGCAUGAUACAGUGUGAAAAACUCCGGUGGUAUAAGAUGGACCCGCGUCUGAUUAGCUUGUUGGUGAGGUAACGGCCCACCAAGGCGACGAUCAGUAGCCGGCCUGAGAGGGUGAACGGCCACAUUGGGACUGAGACACGGCCCAAACUCCUACGGGAGGCAGCAGUGGGGAAUAUUGCACAAUGGGGGAAACCCUGAUGCAGCGACGCCGCGUGAGUGAUGAAGUAUUUCGGUAUGUAAAACUCUAUCAGCAGGGAAGAUAAAUGACGGUACCUGACUAAGAAGCACCGGCUAAAUACGUGCCAGCAGCCG
rnacentral:rRNA from 1 species